UCAGGUGUACCACGUGACUCCGGCUGCACGUGGUGUAAACGCUGUCAGGACGUGGUUGUUUACCAACGUCAGUGUGCUUUAGCACGGCUAAUAUACGACGUGUUUAAGACACAGCGGAGGAUGGAAAUUGAAAACAGUCACGCAUAUUUCAUAGGGGACAUUGGCAGCUGGUCGGAGAGAACAGAGGUGCACAAAGCGGCCUACCUCGGCCAGGUCUCCCAGCUGCAGCACCUCAUUCAAAGCGGCGCUUCAGUCAAUGUGGUGGCAGUGGAUUCCAUCACACCCCUGCACGAGGCCUGCGUCCGUGGCCAGGCCCAGUGUGUGAGGCUGCUUCUGGAGGCGGGAGCCCAGGUGGAUGCGAGGAAUGUGGACGGCAGCACUCCGCUGUGUGAAGCGAGUUCAGCUGGAAGUCUGGAGUGCGUGAAAAUCUUGCUGGAUCACGGUGCCAAGGCCAACCCCGCUCUCACCUCACGCACAGCCUCACCUCUCCACGAGGCCUGCAUGGGAGGUAACUCGGACUGUGUUAAGCUCCUGGUUGCCACAGGAGCUUCUUUGGAGGCGUACGACCUUUACUAUGGCACCCCGCUACAUGUAGCUUGUGUGAACAAGAAGACAGACUGUGUUAAAGUGCUGCUUAAUGCAGGUGCUAAAGUGAAUUCUGCCAGGUUCCAUGAAACUCCACUGCACCACGCUGCUAAAAACAUGCAGCUGGAGAUGAUUGAGACGCUGGUGGUGUUCGGGGCCAACAUCCACGCCAGAGAUCAGCAGGACAGGAAACCAGUGGACUACACAACACCAGGAUCUCCCUCCGCCACCUGCCUCAAGUUCUAUGAGACCACUCCCAUGAGUCUGCAGCAGCUCAGCAGGCUGGCAGUGAGGAAGAGGCUGGGCACCAGUGCACUGAAGGUCAUAGGUCAGCUGGACAUACCAAAACUCAUCAUCAGCUUCCUCUGCUAUCAGUGAGAGCUUCCUGGAGGAGGAGGAUCGACGCUCAAAGAAAGACUGCAGGUUGACAGAGCUGCCACUCCUGCUGCAAAACUCUGUCGUUACGAAUAACAAUAGGUAAAGCAGCUUCCUCCCACUGUCCAAACACAUCCUGGUUGGUGUUCGAUAAAUUGAAGGCUUUAACUUGACCGUCGGGGUGAAUGUGGGUGUGUAAGUUGUAUCCCACCUCUCUCACUCAAUAUCAGCUCCUUAUGCACCAUGUAAAAAUGGAUCCUCUUGUUGCAAAAGCAUCUCCUGUUUUAAAGCAAUAUGAAAUAUGGUCAACAUACUGCCCUGGGGCCAAAUCCGGCCCGCAAAACCAUUUUUUUCAACCCGUAACAUCUUCAUAGUUAACCUCAAGUAAUAGAAGUAACAAGAUCAACGAUUGUCUUGUGAACGGCCCAUUUGAACGCAGCAUAUUAAUAUACAGGGUCCAGCGGUUUCGGAGUCUACUCAAAUCAACCACACACAGAGAAGGGGUGUUACCAGUACUCGUCUGUAUAUACCUGCUGAAUGUAUUAAUUGUUUUCUGACAUCUUAUGAAGCAGAAUGUUGUACCUUUUUUAAAUACCAAGAGCAAUGCCAGUCAGUGAAGUUGUCACAGCAUCACUGGGGGGUGAAGUUCUCCAGAUGCUACUUGGCUUCAUGUCACAUUCCUGCCUGGUGUUUUUAUACAGACACUGAAGCUCAGAGCAGACAGUUUCCUGGCUAUUUAUACCUUUUGUCUUCUUUAAAUCUGAUUACAUUGUCGCUGCUGCCCAGGGAGUUUAGUGAGCUACUGGUGUUUGCAGGAAGAUAUGCACGAAGUAAUUUACAGUAUGGGUAGUUCAUACAGGGUUCCCACGGGUCCUUGAAAUCCUUGAGAGGAUGGAAUAAAAAAAUCCAAGGCCCUUGAACGUUUUUGAAUAUCACCCUAAAUAGACAUGGGUCAUUGAAAGUGCUUGAAUGUUGUGCAAGAAAAAAGUUAAGAUUAUAUUUAGGUAAAUGUGUCCCGCCACUGAUGUGCCCUUGUUUGUUACGACGCCACCUACUGUUUCAUGCGCCCUGCAUUGUUUGAUGUAUGUAUGAACCAACAGGGUUGUGGGCACUGUGCAUUGUCUCUCUCUCUCUCUCUCUCUCUCUCUCUGCUGUUGAAAUGUAUCUGUCAGCACAUUAGCUUCUUUAAAUUUGAGGGAAUUUGUUCUGGAAAGUCCAUGAAAAAUCCACCAAGGUGUGGGAACCCUGUUCAAAGUUAUUCCUUAGCUCCUACUCAUUUUAAGGUUUCAUAACUUUAAUAUACCCAUGGAUGUUCAAUAAGGCCAACUCAGGAUUGCACUUUUCCAAGAAGUCUUUCCCUGUUUCUCCUCAGACCAAACACAUACAGUAAAUUUAAGCCGUUUUAGCCCAGUGAUCUUCAACAAUAAUACAUCAUCUUUCCUUCACCGCAAAGUUUAAUUUCAGCUGUGCUCCAUUUGGCCUGGAUGGUAUGUGAAGUAAUAAUAUUCUUUGUAGGCCACUGUUGGUCAAGAUAGACCAUGAAUAAUGUGCCCUAGUUUGUGUCUGGAGCAGGGUCAUGUGUAGCUGAAGGCCAGUGCAGGGCGGACCUCCUCUGUCCCUGUUGCAGUGGUCGUAGUGGUGUCCUGUCUCUGGCCGACUGGUGGAGGCCUCUCUUUCCUCAAUGAUGUAUAUCAUCAGAAAACCUCAGUGUCUUGUAUCUUGUGUUGCGCUUCGAUCCCAAGAAUGUGAUGAAGACAGCUUCUUCUAUUUGGCAUAUUUUAUCAAUGCCUUAUAACAGCAGAAAGGAGUGUCUAAGCAUUGUUCACUGCAGCCUUCAUCUUUUUAAUAAGCCUGGCUAAGGUUGAUGUAGUCUUCCUGCUGUGUAGUUGAUUUCAUCAUCCAGAUGAAUAUGUCAGUGAUGAUAGAGUGGGCAUCACCAAAUCGUUUACCAUGAUUAUAGCGUCACUCUAAUGAGCCCAUCGAAUCGAUUGUUCACCGGAAGAGAGAGGUGGGAAUGAGAAGACAUGGCUUAAUUCAAAGUAAGGAAAGUUGAUACGGAAAACGUAGCGUGUAAAAGUGAAUGGACGGACCAAUACCAUCGCCCUUCCAAUGAGCUUUUCUUUGUGCAAAGUAUGCUGGAUUGUGGAACGAUGAACAACUACACCAUCAGUAGCCAGAUGUUCUUUUGGCCUUCCAUUUCUGCACUACAUUUCUGACUCCUAACUGUUUUGAUAGUUUCUUGUACCCCUAAUUCAUGAUAAUGAAUUAUCUUAGUUUUCCCCAUGUUGCCACACUCUAAAAAAGAACCUAGGACAAGCACAGUCAGCAAUUACCUCUGUUAAACUGCCUUUUUCAUGAUUGGUUCCACCUGCCUUUGUAACUGAAGGUCUCACGAGCUAAUCAAAGUAAUUUUGUGCUGCAACCUGUCAGCUAUAAAUCCCUACAGGUCUUGAGAUUAAUGUGAUUAAAAGGGUGCCCAAACUGAUGCACAUACUAUUUUUUACAUUUAAUUUUAUCAUAAUAAAACUAUGUAAUGUUACUCUAAGAAUUUUUAUUCACUCAAAUGUCUACAUCUCUGUAGGAAAUCAAAUCUUGCUGCUGUGAUCUUCCCUAAAUUUAGAGCUGAGAGCACAGUAUAACAGAUAUACCCGACUCCUCACACGCCCCAACAACGUGCACAUUUUUUAUAUUGUUAAUAACUGUUUAUUUUGCCGUGAUGUUGCAAAUGUCAUUGAUUAUUAUUUGUGCUUGUGUUUUAUUCAAUGUCAGUAUAUAGAAUAAUCUAACAUGCACUUAAAUUCAAAUAAUAAAUUAAAAUCACUUGUACAAAAAUGAGGUCUGUUGUAUACCAGCAAAUCAGUCAGUUAUGGUCAAAUACAAUGAUUAUGCAUGUUUAUUGCAGUAUUGUGAGGGUUAUAAGCACAGACAACCGGUCACUGAUGCCUAUCAGUAGGACAGGAAGAGGAUUUCAACAAAGAUAACUUGAGAAAACUUUUUCAUGCCUGACACCGAGGCCUAUAUCACAAAUUUAAACAUCCGCCAAUAUGACACAUGUCCUGCUCCAGUGAUACAGAUGAUACUGUAGGCAGGGCGACAUAUACAGCUUUAACAUGGCAGGGAUUAUGAGAGCUCAGCAUCAGCAUCUUAAGCCUCUGGCAACAGGCACUUUGGAAAAUAAAAAAUUACCAAACGUUGUAGCACCUCAUCAAAAUGAUGUGCAAGAAAGAGACUGUUGUGUUUUAGACAUGUGCAAAAUCUAAUUUGGUCGUUUCAGAGCACACUGUAAACUGUAGAUUGAGAUUAGAGGUGAGUGUGUCCUGGACUUAAACCCUUGUCCAUGUGCAGUUUACUGACGUCAGGCUCCAGGAUUCUUAUCUAACUUGUCUCUUGCCUGAAUGUGCAGCUGCCAGCAGGCAGUCACAGUCUGUAGCCUCCUGUCAGCUCUGUGUUUACUGACAAAUCCUAACAAAGCCUUCAAAAGCAUUGUUUCCUCCACAUCUCUCUCCUCACUCCCCACAUCUGGCUCUCUCUCCCUCUUCUCUGAGAUGAACGUGCUCAGGCUGCUCCUCCACCGCACGCUCUAAUCAUGCCAGUACAUUCUUAUCAACAAACAUCCAUCAAUACACGUUUGAUGUUUUUUAGACCAGUUUUAAGACCAAACAAAAAUGCUGUGUAGUUAAUUUUAGUCCGUAAACAACAAGCUUGGAGCACGGGUUUGACCUCUUUCCUUUUACGACCUUUUUUAAAUAAAACGUUUGACCCUGAUACAGUCGGUGUGGCUGAAAAUAACCUCUGCCAAACAUGACUGGUUUCAAGAGAGUGGAAAAAAGCAGCGAGGAGGGCAAGCAUGCAGGGUAUGUCCACUUAUCUAAGAUGAAAAAUGGCUUGUGCUGCAAGAAAAAGGGAUGCUGAGCUUCAGAGUGGCUGCUGUGUUGGCAGUGUUUUUCUGAAAGUGAAUAAAGUCAGGGUUAAUGCACUGAUUUAUCUGUUGUUAAUAUUUAUCUGUACAGAAAUGUUGAUUUAUUGAAUAAAAUGUAACUGUUACUACUGA